rnacentral:tRNA from 1 species
GGAAAGAUGACUGAGAGGUUUAAAGUGGAAGUUUGCUAAAUUUUUAUGUGCAAAGUUUUUUGCAUAUCGAGGGUUCAAAUCCCUCUCUUUCCU